rnacentral:rRNA from 1 species
GACGAACGCUGGCGGCGUGCCUAAUACAUGCAAGUCGAACGCUGAAGAGAGGAGCUUGCUCUUCUUGGAUGAGUUGCGAGCGGGUGAGUAACGCGUAGGUAGCCUGCCUUGUAGCGGGGGAUAACUAUUGGAAACGAUAGCUAAUACCGCAUAACAAUGGAUGACACAUGUCAUUUAUUUGAAAGGGGCAAUUGUUCCACUACAAGAUGGACCUGCGUUGUAUUAGCUAGUAGGUGAGGUAAUGGCUCACCUAGGCGACGAUACAUAGCCGACCUGAGAGGGUGAUCGGCCACACUGGGACUGAGACACGGCCCAGACUCCUACGGGAGGCAGCAGUAGGGAAUCUUCGGCAAUGGGGGCAACCCUGACCGAGCAACGCCGCGUGAGUGAAGAAGGUUUUCGGAUCGUAAAGCUCUGUUGUAAGUCAAGAACGGGUGUGAGAGUGGAAAGUUCACACUGUGACGGUAGCUUACCAGAAAGGGACGGCUAACUACGUG